AAGUAGAAUAAAGAGACUACGGAGGAUGCUUAGCCGCCUUAUCAAGGGAGGUUUAUAACCAAAACCCAUAGUUAGGUUCAUUAGAGCCUUAUUAAUAUCUAUUUUGCAAUCCCAGGAGAAAUCAUUUAGUCAAGUACACAGGGAACGAAACCAACCCAGUACUUGUAGAAAAAAAGGUUUACCAAGAGUUAGGUAGUAGCUAGAGCGAACCCUAAUUAGCUAGGCUUUCACAAAUAAUGAGCAUUACAAUAGUCUUUUGAUGAAUGACUUAGUAAAAAGUACUUUUCUUAAUUUGCAGGUUAGCUAAGCUAAUCCAAAGAGGAUAAAAGGCCUGUAAUCAAAAGUGUGUUUGUUCUUUGGGUCAAGUACUACGAUUUUUCGUAGGAAGAUAGGGGUGCCAUCCUCUAAGGCUAAAUAUGAUAAGGUGAGUGAUAGUGAAGAGUAGCGUGAGCGAAAGGUUCAAAAGUAGGUAGUUAACCGUUGAAAUAGAACCUGAAUCCGUAGUCUUCUAAGCAGUGAAAGCUCUACAGCCCUCAAAAGCUGCGAGUGAUGAUGUACCUUUUGCAUAAUGGGUCGCUUAGUAAUAGUCAAUAGCAAGGUGAAAGCCCUAGCAAAUGCAACAAUGGUUGAUAAGACCAAUUGGUUAAUUUGACCCGAAACCUAACGAUCUAGCCAUGAUCAGGUCAAGUUGACCCGAAACCUAACUAUCUAGCCAUGAUCAGGUCAAGUUGAAAUGGACCGAACAAAUGUCCUAAGUAAAGGGCUCCGAUGAUUUGUGGCUAGCAAGUGAAAGAGAAACCUAGUUAGGAGAUAGUUGGUCCUCCAUGAAAUAUAUUACAAUAUAGUGUUAUGAUGACAUCCUAUGUAGGUACAACUCUGAUUGUAAGGAUUCUUCCGGGGUGUUGGCUUUACCCAUGACAAUGAACCUAGAAAUGAUGUAUUAAUGAUCCAUAGCAUACAACCUAUUUGUGAUAAGGCAGGUAGGCAAGAGGGAAAUGACCCUCAAUGUUUGUUUAUGGUUCCUAAUUUCCCGUUAAGUGAUAGAAAGGAAGUGAAUUUCCUAAGAGAACUACGAUAUGUGUUUGGUAGUCGCGAUUCAAUAAUGAGAGUGUAACAACUCAAUAGUCUAAGUGGUCUUUUGAUCACGGGGGAAUAAGCGUCGAAAAUUCAUAGGGUAUAGACGGUAAACCGAAACAACAUCCUAUAGUCUAUGUGAUGACAGAGGGUAGUGGAGCAAUUAGUACCAAAGAUUCAAGGUGUUUCUCCUGUUAUCGCACAGUUUGUAGGAAAGGUUUAGAUAGCUUGGAGUCAAGGCUUCAAACUGGCGUAACAGGAGCUUCCCCACCCACUGUCACCUCGAUGGGGAUCUCUUUCUAUUUAG
rnacentral:ncRNA from 1 species